UUGGGCGAUUUUCAAGCAUUUCAGAGCUUCGUCUUUGUUUCCAUCCAUCCUUGAAGAAAAUAACAAUCCGAUCAAAUAGAAUUAAACAAAAAUUUCCCCAAAAAAUAGAAUAAAAUAAAGUAACUAUGCACUGACACAGGUGAUGAAAUUGAAUGCUAUUAUGUACGUGAAUAAAGAUUAAAGUUGAGGGUAUAUUGCUCUGAUUGAUGGAGUAAAGUGCUCUUUUCCUGGAUUCAGAAAUUGGGUCUUCUGCGACGGUGGAUUUACGGGUGGAUCGAGAAUCUAGGGUUAGGUUUUGGCCGGUAUUCGAGGAAAGGUAAACCCCAACUUGGAAUGGGGUGGUCGU
rnacentral:lncRNA from 1 species